UGGUGGGUAGUUUGACUGGGGCGGUCUCCUCCUAAAGAGUAACGGAGGAGCACGAAGGUUGGCUAAUCCUGGUCGGACAUCAGGAGGUUAGUGCAAUGGCAUAAGCCAGCUUGACUGCGAGCGUGACGGCGCGAGCAGGUGCGAAAGCAGGUCAUAGUGAUCCGGUGGUUCUGAAUGGAAGGGCCAUCGCUCAACGGAUAAAAGGUACUCCGGGGAUAACAGGCUGAUACCGCCCAAGAGUUCAUAUCGACGGCGGUGUUUGGCACCUCGAUGUCGGCUCAUCACAUCCUGGGGCUGAAGUAGGUCCCAAGGGUAUGGCUGUUCGCCAUUUAAAGUGGUACGCGAGCUGGGUUUAGAACGUCGUGAGACAGUUCGGUCCCUAUCUGCCGUGGGCGCUGGAGAACUGAGGGGGGCUGCUCCUAGUACGAGAGGACCGGAGUGGACGCAUCACUGGUGUUCGGGUUGUCAUGCCAAUGGCACUGCCCGGUAGCUAAAUGCGGAAGAGAUAAGUGCUGAAAGCAUCUAAGCACGAAACUUGCCCCGAGAUGAGUUCUCCCUGAGACUUUAGGUCUCCUGAAGGAACGUUGAA
rnacentral:rRNA from 1 species